GACGAACGCUGGCGGCGUGCUUAACACAUGCAAGUCGAACGGAAAGGCCCUGCUUUUGUGGGGUGCUCGAUUGGCGAACGGGUGAGUAACACGUGAGUAACCUGCCCUUGACUUUGGGAUAACUUCAGGAAACUGGGGCUAAUACCGGAUAGGAUCUCCUGCUGCAUGUUGGGGGUUGGAAAUUUUCGGCUGUUGGGGAUGGUCUCGCGGCUUAUCAGCUUGUUGGUGGGGUAGUGGCUUACCAAGGCUUUGACGGGUAGCCGGCCUGAGAGGGUGACCGGCCACAUUGGGACUGAGAUACGGCCCAGACUCCUACGGGACGCAGCAGUGGGGAAUAUUGCACAAUGGGGGGGAGCCUGAAGCAGCAACGCCGCGUGCGGGAUAACGGCCUUCGGGUUGAAAACCACUUUCGCCUGUGCCAAGGCGGGCGUGACGGUAAUGGGUAAGAAAGCACCGGCUAACUACGUG
rnacentral:rRNA from 1 species